rnacentral:hammerhead_ribozyme from 1 species
AUUCGGCUGGUGAGUCCCAAAUAGAACGAAACACGCGUCAAAUUGAAU